GAGGUCCAGCCUGCCCAGUGACCACAAGUUUAACGGCCGCGGUAUUUUGACCGUGCAAAGGUAGCGCAAUCACUUGUCUUUUAAAUAAAGACCUGUAUGAAUGGUUAAACGAGGGCUUAACUGUCUCCCAUUUCCAGUCAGUGAAAUUGAUCUACCCGUGCAGAAGCGGGUAUAAUUAUACAAGACGAGAAGACCCUUUGGAGCUUAAGGUACAAAACUCAACCACGUCAAUCAACUCAAUAAAAAGCAACUUUUACUAAACCUUGUGACAAAUGAGACCAUACCUUCGGUUGGGGCGACCAAGGAGGAAAAAAAAGCCUCCAAGUGGACUGGGCUAACACCCUAAAACUAAGAGAGACAUCUCUAAGCCACAGAACAUCUGACCAUAAAUGAUCCGGUCAACUAAGACCGAUCAACGAACCAAGUUACCCUAGGGAUAACAGCGCAAUCCCCUCCCAGAGUCCAUAUCGACGAGGGGGUUUACGACCUCGAUGUUGGAUCAGGACAUCCUAAUGGUGCAGCCGCUAUUAAGGG
rnacentral:rRNA from 1 species